UGGUGCGUAGCUCAGUUGGCAGAGUAGCGGUCUCUUAAACCGUGGGUCGUGGGUUCGAGCCCCACCGCACCAACGA
rnacentral:tRNA from 1 species